rnacentral:tRNA from 2 species
CGCGGGGAAUGUCAAGUGGACUUGGCGACCGGCUCAUGCCCGGAAUGAACGCGUGUUCGAUCCACGCCCCCGCAACCA